AUGUGUAUAUAAUGACACAGUGUGUAAAGGUAGAUAAAAGAACAGCUAGAACUGUCUGGUAAGUUCAGGAAAUGACAUCACUUUACUGUAAUGCAGCCUGUAAAACCAG